UACGGGGGGGGCAAGCGUUGUUCGGAAUUACUGGGCGUAAAGGGCUCGUAGGCGGCCAACUAAGUCGGACGUGAAAUCCCUCGGCUUAACCGGGGGAACUGCGUCCGAUACUGGAUGGCUUGAGUUCGGGAGAGGGAUGCGGAAUUCCAGGUGUAGCGGGUGAAAUGCGUAGAUAUCUGGAGGAACACCGGUGGCGAAGGCGGCAUCCUGGACCGACACUGACGCUGAGGGAGCGAAAGCCAGGGGAGCAAACGGG
rnacentral:rRNA from 1 species